rnacentral:misc_RNA from 1 species
GAUGAAGAACGUAGCGAAAUGCGAUACGUAAUGUGAAUUGCAGAAUUCAGUGAAUCAUCGAGUCUUUGAACGCACAUUGCGCCCCCUGGUAUUCCGGGGGGCAUGCCUGUCCGAGCGUCAUUGCUGCCCUCAAGCACGGCUUGUGUGUUGGGCCUCCGUCCUCCUCCCGGGGGACGGGCCCGAAAGGCAGCGGCGGCACCGCGUCCGGCCCUCGAGCGUAUGGGGCUUCGUCACCCGCUCUUGUAGGCCCGGCCGGCGCUUGCCGACACAUCAAUCUUUUUUCCAGGUUGACCUCGGAUCAGGUAGGGAUACCCGCUGAACUUAAGCAUAUCAAUAAGCGGAGGA